CAGCAGCCGCGGGAAUACGGAGGGUGCAAGCGUUAAUCGGAAUUACUGGGCGUAAAGCGCACGCAGGCGGUCUGUCAAGUCGGAUGUGAAAUCCCCGGGCUCAACCUGGGAACUGCAUUCGAAACUGGCAGGCUAGAGUCUUGUAGAGGGGGGUAGAAUUCCAGGUGUAGCGGUGAAAUGCGUAGAGAUCUGGAGGAAUACCGGUGGCGAAGGCGGCCCCCUGGACAAAGACUGACGCUCAGGUGCGAAAGCGUGGGGAGCAAACAGGAUUAGAUACCCCGGUAGUCCCUGUCUCUUAUAA
rnacentral:rRNA from 1 species